GGUCCAAGGGGUUACGUUUAGCUGUAUAUUACAGGUACCACCGGAAAACCGUUUCACCCCCAUUAUGCUUUUCAACAGUAUGAAGCAACAUAAGGUUAAGAUUGGUCUGUGGAUUGAUUUGACGAACACAAAGCGGUUUUAUGACA